rnacentral:rRNA from 1 species
UACAGAGGGUGCGAGCGUUGUCCGGAAUCACUGGGCGUAAAGGGCGCGUAGGCGGCUUGAUAAGCGUGCGGUGAAAGCCCGGGGCUCAACCCCGGGUCGGCCGUGCGAACUGUCGAGCUGGAGCACUGUAGAGGCAGGUGGAAUUCCGGGUGUAGCGGUGGAAUGCGUAGAGAUCCGGAGGAAGACCGGUGGCGAAGGCGGUCUGCUGGGCAGUUUCUGACACUGAGGCGCGACAGCGUGGGGAGCGAACAGG